rnacentral:rRNA from 1 species
CCCUUAGAUGCCCUGGGCCGCACGCGCGCUACACUGAUGCAUGCAACGAGUUUAUAACCUUGGCCUGAAAGGUCUGGGUAAUCUUUUGAACGUGCAUCGUGAUAGGGAUAGAUUAUUGCAAUUGUUAAUCUUGAACGAGGAAUUCCUAGUAAACGCGAGUCAUCAGCUCACAUUGAUUACGUCCCUGCCCUUUGUACACACCGCCCGUCGCACCUACCGAUUGAAUGGUUCGGUGAAGAUCUCGGACUUCGAUAUUUAUUCUUUAUUGAGUUUAUAUUGUGGGAAGUUAUCUAAACCUCAUCAUUUAGAGGAAGGUGAAGUCGUAACA